rnacentral:rRNA from 1 species
GACAGGUGCUGCAUGGCUGUCGUCAGCUCGUGUUGUGAAAUGUUGGGUUAAGUCCCGCAACGAGCGCAACCCUUAUCCUUUGUUGCCAGCGAUUCGGUCGGGAACUCAAAGGAGACUGCCGGUGAUAAACCGGAGGAAGGUGGGGAUGACGUCAAGUCAUCAUGGCCCUUACGAGUAGGGCUACACACGUGCUACAAUGGCGCAUACAAAGAGAAGCGACCUCGCGAGAGCAAGCGGACCUCACAAAGUGCGUCGUAGUCCGGAUCGGAGUCUGCAACUCGACUCCGUGAAGUCGGAAUCGCUAGUAAUCGUGGAUCAGAAUGCCACGGUGAAUACGUUCCCGGACGUAGUACACUCCUCCCGUCGCAACCAUAGUGAGUAGGCAAGCUAACCAAGUC